UUAUGGCCAUAUAACGUUGAAACACCGCUUCUCGUGCGAGCAGCCAAGUUAAGCAACCUCGAACCAGGUCAGUACAUAGAAGGGUGACCACUUGGGAUUACCAGAUGCUGUAAG